GUGGGGAAUGGGGAUUAGCAAGAUCACUAGUUCACAAUUUCACUUUUGUGGCGAUGCUUAACAAAUUCCCCAGUCUUGGUUGUUAUGUAUUAACUUGUAAGUAUCAACAGAGAACAACUUUUAGAUAUCUAAGUUGUAGUCUAUCUUGUCUGACAAAUGAUACCUGCCCUCAAAAGAUUCGUGGUUAUAAUAAAUAAAAAGAGAGAGUUUGAUUCACAGAAAUAUUUAUUUUCUUUUCCUUUUUGGGUCUUAGCUAUCAUAGUUAGCUAUGGUUUAUGUGCAAUUGGGCUUUGCUAAAGUGAAUGUUUGUGGACAAUAUGAAUUGCAGUUGCAGGCUUGGAAUUAAAAGUGUGACAAUAUUUUUUUUUUAAAAAAAGGGUAAAGGAAAAAAAGUGGAGAGGAAACUUCUGUGGGCAUGUACCUUAAAUAUUAUGCCUAGGGGUCGAGGCUUUACAAGUCAUACAGCGUAGAACUAAUUGUUCCCUGAUUGUACAAAACUGGACAAAUUUAAAUUUUUAUCAUACUAUAUUCUACACUCGAAAGCAAGCAGAGUGCUUACUGACUGUGACUUUGUAGGCUCGCUUUUGAAUGCCGGAAUAUUGAUCAAAUACGACUGGAAUUUUCUGGGCUUAAAUCCUCAAACUUUGAGGAAAGCUUUUUGCGUUUUUCUUUGGUUGAUAAUUAAUCGUGAUGGUAUGGAAAGUUAUGUUUCAAUGAAUCACCAAAAUGUUAACUGUGCAGUCAAAUUGGCAAAAUUAUAUGUACGGCUGGUGUUGCUUGGAUUUUAUAAACUAUUUUAACAGAUGAAACUCGUGAUGUUCAUUGCAGCUAACAGCCAUUUUCUUAUUUUGUUGUGUCUUCCAGUCUGAAGUUUUCACGGUUGCAUUUGCACUGCUUGCAGCUGGUGCUGUUAUUCUAACCUUGAAUGUCUUGCUGCUGGGUGGUCAUAUUAUCUUCUUCCAGAGCCUAAGUCUUCUAGGCUACUGUCUAUUCCCUCUAGACAUCGGUGCCUUAAUUUGCAUGUUAAAAGACAAUGUGAUCAUCAAAGUGGUGGUGGUUGCUGUGACAUUGGCGUGGAGCUCAUGGGCUGCAUAUCCAUUUAUGAGUAGUGCCGUCAAUCCAAGGAGGAAAGCUCUCGCACUUUAUCCCGUCUUGCUUAUGUACGUAUCUGUCGGUUUUCUUAUCAUAGCUAUAGACUGAUGCAACAAUUAUAUGGUGGUUAUAGUACCACUUCAUUAAGUGGUCAAACACUAAACAAAACUAUUAACAUUUGAUAUAGUUACCAAUUGGAUUGCAGUCGAAUUGUUUAUCAAUACUUUCUUGAUUUUGAGUUUUGACUGCCCCAUAUGUAAUAGCAGUUGUAUAUUACUUUUUAUUUCGGGUAUAAAUUUGUGUUUCGUAUCUUGUUAAACUA